rnacentral:rRNA from 14 species
CAUGGCAGACACACGGCGGGUGCUAACGUCCGUCGUGGAGAGGGAAACAACCCUGACCGCCAGUUAAGGUCCCAAAGUCAUGGCUAAGUGGGAAAGGAUGUGAGGAUCCCAAAACAACCAGGAUGUUGGCUUAGAAGCAGCCAUCAUUUAAAGAAAGCGUAACAGCUCACUGGUCUAAAUAAGGGGUUUUGCGCCGAAAAUGUACCGGGGCUAAAGCCAUGCACCGAAGCUGAGGAUGUGCAGUUUACUGCACGUGGUAGCGGAGCGUUCUGUAAGUCUGCGAAGGUGUGGCGUGAGCCAUGCUGGAGAUAUCAGAAGUGAGAAUGCUGACAUGAGUAGCGAUAAACAGUGUGAGAGACACUGUCGCCGAAAUCCUAAGGGUUCCUGCGCAAGGCUAAUCCGCGCAGGGUGAGUCGGCUCCUAAGGCGAGGCCGAAAGGCGUAGUCGAUGGGAAACAGGUUAAUAUUCCUGUACCAGGUGGAAUGUGACGAAUGGUGUAAGUUGUGGGUCCUUAUUGGAUUGGACCUGCCGCGAAACUGUUCCAGGAAAUAGCACCACCAUUAAUGACCGUACCCUAAACCGACACAGGUAGGAUGGUAGAGCAUACCAAGGCGCUUGAGAGAACUAUGUUGAAGGAACUCGGCAAAUUGCCUCCGUAAGUUCGCGAGAAGGAGGCCCAAUCCGUGGGCAACCAUGGGUUGGGGGCACAGACCAGGGGGUUGCGACUGUUUAUCAAAAACACAGGGCUCUGCGAAGCCGCAAGGCGACGUAUAGGGUCUGACGCCUGCCCGGUGCUGGAAGGUUAAGGGGAGCGGUGAGAGCUGCGAAUUGAAGCCCCAGUAAACGGCGGCCGUAACAAUAA